rnacentral:lncRNA from 1 species
UUGUGUCUACUUCUUCGAAUGAAAAAAAAUAAAAUGCAUAUUAAUUUGUAGGAUAAAUUAUAAAAAUCAACAUUCUUAUAAUAUGGUAAUUGACAAUAAACUUGUCCCUUAAAAAUUACAAAUCACAAACUCUUACAAGAAAAGAGAAUGGUAGAAAGAACAAAUUAAAAAAAAAUAAAGUAAAAGUUUGAAAGAAAAUAUAUAUACAAAUCAUACAUGGAUCUUGAAAUAAUUGGAAGAAAAAAAAAAGAAUACCAUUUAUAAAUUUCUACUUAUCUGUUAUGUAAAGGAUUAGGACCAGUGUAGAUUUUCCUCUUCUCAUCACCAAGAACAUCUUCACUUCCUUGUACACCUGAAUUCUGUCUUGAAGUUGAUUUUCCUUGAGAAGCACUUAACUUUGACAUAGAAUCACUUCUAAAGUUUUGAGAUUUCGCAUACCCUUCAACAGAAAAAGAACUUUUGAAGAAGAAAAGAAUCAUCACUAGAAGGAGCCAGAAGAAAAAAAGCAGACUCAUUAGCCUCAUGUUCUCAAGAGAAAGAUCAUGCAUGGAAAUUUUAUAAUUGGCUCAAAAUUCCAUAAAGAAAGAAACAAAGCUACAAAGGUUUCUUUUUGGAUCUGGUUUAAUAAAGGGUCACUGAAAACACCAAGAAAAAAAAAACUUUAGAAGGAGAAAAUAAUGGUCUGAAGAAAUGAUAUGUAAUGACUUUUUUGUCCUUGUUUUUGAUGAUGUGUGGAUUUUGAAGUGUGAGCUCUGAAAAUGAGGAUAGUCAAUGAGAGGUUUGUGAGUCCAGUGCAUAGGGUUUGAUGCAUUAAUGCAAAUAAAUAUGAUGCAGAAUGUGUCUGAUGUUUUUUACUUGGGAAACAACUAUGGACCAGAGAGAGAAUGAGGAGAAAAUUAUCUUUUGCUUCUUCUGUUUGAGCUUAUGUAAGUUUAAUGCUGCUAUAUGUUUUGAAUCGACUAUAAAGUCUAUAGAAUUAAUGUCUUUUAUUGUGAUUUUAGGUAGAGUCUUAAUGAUUCAUUGUAAUUCUGUUAAUUUUAUUCUUUAUUUUAGUUACAAGUGGAAAGAGUUAGGUUCGUCCUAUAAAAAUCUACGGAAAAACA